ACGGGAGGUAGCAGUCGGGAAUAUUGCGCAAUGGAGGAAACUCUGACGCAGUGACGCCGCGUAUAGGAUGAAGGUUUUCGGAUUGUAAACUAUUGUCGUUAGGGAAGAUACAAGACAGUACCUAAGGAGGAAGCUCCGGCUAACUACGUGCCAGCAGCCGCGGUAAUACGUAGGGGGCAAGCGUUAUCCGGAUUUACUGGGUGUAAAGGGCGCGUAGGCGGGGGUGCAAGUCAGAUGUGAAAUCUAUGGGCUUAACUCAUAAACUGCAUUUGAAACUGUAUCUCUUGAGUGCUGGAGAGGUAGAUGGAAUUCCUUGUGUAGCGGUGAAAUGCGUAGAUAUAAGGAAGAACACCAGUGGCGAAGGCGAUCUACUGGACAGUAACUGACGCUGAGGCGCGAAAGCGUGGGGAGCAAACAGGAUUAGAUACCCUGGUA
rnacentral:rRNA from 1 species